rnacentral:rRNA from 1 species
CCUACGGGGGGCUGCAGUGGGGAAUAUUGGACAAUGGGGGGCACCCUGAUCCAGCCAUGCCGCGUGUGUGAAGAAGGCCCUCGGGUUGUAAAGCACUUUCAGUGAGGAAGAACGCCUGGUGGUUAAUACCCAUCAGGAAAGACAUCACUCACAGAAGAAGCACCGGCUAACUCCGUGCCAGCAGCCGCGGUAAUACGGAGGGUGCGAGCGUUAAUCGGAAUUACUGGGCGUAAAGCGCGCGUAGGUGGCUUGAUAAGCCGGUUGUGAAAGCCCCGGGCUCAACCUGGGAACGGCAUCCGGAACUGUCAAGCUAGAGUGCAGGAGAGGAAGGUAGAAUUCCCGGUGUAGCGGUGAAAUGCGUAGAGAUCGGGAGGAAUACCAGUGGCGAAGGCGGCCUUCUGGACUGACACUGACACUGAGGUGCGAAAGCGUGGGUAGCAAACAGGAUUAGAUACCCUGGUAGUC